GUCGAGCGGAUGAGUGGAGCUUGCUCCACGAUUCAGCGGCGGACGGGUGAGUAAUGCCUAGGAAUCUGCCUGGUAGUGGGGGACAACGUUUCGAAAGGAACGCUAAUACCGCAUACGUCCUACGGGAGAAAGUGGGGGAUCUUCGGACCUCACGCUAUCAGAUGAGCCUAGGUCGGAUUAGCUAGUUGGUGAGGUAAAGGCUCACCAAGGCGACGAUCCGUAACUGGUCUGAGAGGAUGAUCAGUCACACUGGAACUGAGACACGGUCCAGACUCCUACGGGAGGCAGCAGUGGGGAAUAUUGGACAAUGGGCGAAAGCCUGAUCCAGCCGUGCCGCGUGUGUGAAGAAGGUCUUCGGAUUCUAAAGCACUUUAAGUUGGGAGGAAGGGCAGUAAGUUAAUACCUUGCUGUUUUGACGUUACCAACAGAAUAAGCACCGGCUAACUUCGUGCCAGCAGCCGCGGUAAUACGAAAGGUGCAAGCGUUAAUCGGAAUUACUG
rnacentral:rRNA from 1 species